UCAAGCGAAUAAGUGCAUGUGGUGGAUGCCUUGGCGAUCACAGGCGAUGAAGGACGUAGUAGCUUGCGAAAAGCUGCGGGGAGCUGGCAAACGAGCUUUGAUCCGCAGAUGUCCGAAUGGGGAAACCCGGCCCGUAUGGGUCAUCCCUUGCUGAAUACAUAGGCAAGGGAGGCGAACGCAGUGAACUGAAACAUCUAAGUAGCUGCAGGAAAAGAAAUCAACCGAGAUUCCCAAAGUAGUGGCGAGCGAAAUGGGAACAGCCUUGUACUCUUUAGCAGUAUUGUUAGCGGAACGGAAUGGAAAGUCCGGCCAUAGUGGGUGAUAGCCCCGUACGCGAAAACAGUAUUGUGGAACUAGGUGUACGACAAGUAGGGCGGGACACGUGAAAUCCUGUCUGAAGAUGGGGGGACCAUCCUCCAAGGCUAAAUACUCGUGAUCGACCGAUAGUGAACCAGUACCGUGAGGGAAAGGCGAAAAGAACCCCGGGAGGGGAGUGAAAUAGAUCCUGAAACCGCAUGCAUACAAACAGUCGGAGCCUGGAAACGGGUGACGGCGUACCUUUUGUAUAAUGGGUCAGCGACUUACAUUCAGUGGCAAGCUUAACCGAUUAGGGAAGGCGUAGCGAAAGCGAGUCCGAAUAGGGCGUUCAGUCGCUGGGUGUAGACCCGAAACCAAGUGAUCUAUCCAUGGCCAGGUUGAAGGUGCGGUAACACGUACUGGAGGACCGAACCCACUAACGUUGAAAAGUUAGGGGAUGAGCUGUGGAUAGGGGUGAAAGGCUAAACAAACUUGGAAAUAGCUGGUUCUCUCCGAAAACUAUUUAGGUAGUGCCUCGUGUCUCACCUUCGGGGGUAGAGCACUGUCAUGGUUGGGGGGUCUAUUGCUGAUUACCCCGCCAUAGCAAACUCCGAAUACCGAAGAGUGCAAUCACGGGAGACAGACAUCGGGUGCUAACGUCCGGUGUCAAGAGGGAAACAACCCAGACCGCCAGCUAAGGUCCCUAAGAUUGGCUAAGUGGGAAACGAAGUGGGAAGGCUAAAACAGUCAGGAGGUUGGCUUAGAAGCAGCCACCCUUUAAAGAAAGCGUAAUAGCUCACUGAUCGAGUCGUCCUGCGCGGAAGAUGUAACGGGGCUAAGCCAGUCACCGAAGCUGCGGAUGCACGUAAGUGCAUGGUAGGAGAGCGUUCUGUAAGCCUGUGAAGGUGUCUUGUAAAGGAUGCUGGAGGUAUCAGAAGUGCGAAUGCUGACAUGAGUAGCGAUAAAGGGGGUGAAAGGCCCCCUCGCCGUAAGCCCAAGGUUUCCUACGCAACGUUCAUCGGCGUAGGGUGAGUCGGCCCCUAAGGUGAGGCAGAGAUGCGUAGCUGAUGGGAAGCAGGUUAAUAUUCCUGCACCGUCGUAUGAUGCGAUGGGGGGACGGAUCGCGGAAGGUUGUCCGGGUGUUGGAAGUCCCGGUCCCUACAUUGGAGAUGGCACUUAGGCAAAUCCGGGUGCGUGAUUCAAGGGUGUGGGGCGAGCGACGUUAGGUCGCGAAGCAAUUGGAAGUGGUUCCAAGAAAAGCCUCUAAGCUUCAGUCAUACGAGACCGUACCGCAAACCGACACAGGUGGGCGAGAUGAGUAUUCUAAGGCGCUUGAGAGAACUCGGGAGAAGGAACUCGGCAAAUUGGUACCGUAACUUCGGGAUAAGGUACGCCCUUGUAGUUUGACUGGCUCGCGCCAGAAGGAUGAAGGGGUUGCAAUAAAAUGGUGGCUGCGACUGUUUAAUAAAAACACAGCACUCUGCAAACACGAAAGUGGACGUAUAGGGUGUGACGCCUGCCCGGUGCCGGAAGAUUAAAUGAUGGGGUGCAAGCUCUUGAUUGAAGUCCCGGUAAACGGCGGCCGUAACUAUAACGGUCCUAAGGUAGCGAAAUUCCUUGUCGGGUAAGUUCCGACCUGCACGAAUGGCGUAACGAUGGCCACACUGUCUCCUCCCGAGACUCAGCGAAGUUGAAGUGUUUGUGAUGAUGCAAUCUCCCCGCGGCUAGACGGAAAGACCCCAUGAACCUUUACUGUAGCUUUGCAUUGGACUUUGAACCGAUCUGUGUAGGAUAGGUGGGAGGCUUUGAAACCGGGACGCUAGUUUCGGUGGAGCCGACCUUGAAAUACCACCCUGGUUUGUUUGAGGUUCUAACCUUGGCCCGUGAAUCCGGGUCGGGGACAGUGCAUGGUAGGCAGUUUGACUGGGGCGGUCUCCUCCCAAAGUGUAACGGAGGAGUUCGAAGGUACGCUUGGUACGGUCGGACAUCGUACCUAAAGUGCAAUGGCAAAAGCGUGCUUAACUGCGAGACCGACAAGUCGAGCAGGUGCGAAAGCAGGACAUAGUGAUCCGGUGGUUCUGUAUGGAAGGGCCAUCGCUCAACGGAUAAAAGGUACUCUGGGGAUAACAGGCUGAUACCGCCCAAGAGUUCAUAUCGACGGCGGUGUUUGGCACCUCGAUGUCGGCUCAUCUCAUCCUGGGGCUGUAGCCGGUCCCAAGGGUAUGGCUGUUCGCCAUUUAAAGAGGUACGUGAGCUGGGUUUAAAACGUCGUGAGACAGUUUGGUCCCUAUCUGCCGUGGGCGUUGGAAUCUUGACGGGGGCUGCUCCUAGUACGAGAGGACCGGAGUGGACGUACCGCUGGUGUACCUGUUGUCUCGCCAGAGGCAUCGCAGGGUAGCUAUGUACGGAAGAGAUAACCGCUGAAAGCAUCUAAGCGGGAAACUCGCCUGAAGAUGAGGAUUCCCUGGAGACUUGAUCUCCCUGAAGGGUCGUUCGAGACCAGGACGUUGAUAGGCUGGGUGUGGAAGCGCAGUAAUGCGUUCAGCUAACCAGUACUAAUUGCCCGUGCGGCUUGAUCC
rnacentral:rRNA from 1 species